AAAUGAAUUGACGGGGGCCCGCACAAGCGGUGGAGUAUGUGGUUUAAUUCGAUGCAACGCGAAGAACCUUACCAGGGCUUGACAUCCCGGGAAUCCUGAUGAAAGUCGGGAGUGCCCUUCGGGGAACCCGGAGACAGGUGGUGCAUGGCUGUCGUCAGCUCGUGUCGUGAGAUGUUGGAUUAAGUUCCGCAACGAGCGCAACCCUCGUCUCAUGUUGCCAGCGGUUCGGCCGGGCACUCAUGCGAGACUGCCGUAGUAAUGCGGAGGAAGGUGGGGAUGACGUCAAGUCAGCAUGCCCCGUACGUCCUGGGCUACACACAUACUACAAUGCAUGAGGCAAACGGACGCUAACCCGUGAGGGGGCGCAAAUCCGAGAAGCUCAUGCUCAGUGCGGAUCGCAGGCUGCAACUCGCCUGCGUGAAGUCGGAAUCGCUAGUAACCGUCGGUCAGCAUUACGACGGUGAAUACGUUCCCGGGCCUUGUACACACCGCCCGU
rnacentral:rRNA from 1 species